GCCGGCCUGAUUGCAAGGUAGCCAUGGAAACACCUCCUAAUGGCGCGGCGCUGAAGAUGGACUGGCACUUGUCUCUGUGAAAAUUCCAUCAGCAGGGCUGAAGACAGGCCUGCUUGUCCAUGGAUAUCCCAGAGGUGCUGCCGGAGGAGGGUCAGAGCAGCAUUCAGACACACACCCUCACACUAGUUUCUUGCAAAUGAGCACCACUGAAAGUUCAUGUGGAGAAUAUAUUUUAUACAAUGAACAUUUUUGUUCUAAAAGCUUGGAUCUAAACACUUGCUUUCAGCAAUGUUGCACAGGUGUUAAAACCCUUUUAUCAUCUUCUCACAUUUCAAACCACCUAGGGCAUUAAAGUGCAACAUGCCUUAAAUCACAGAGUCAUGUUUUUGUAGUCUGAAACACUUUUUCAUAUCUGUAUAUAGACAUGCUCUCUGUAAAUGCUUUGUUAUUUAAAGGUCUGGCCUAGUUAAUGUGGCAAUAGCAUAUUAAUAACUCUUUAACAUUGUUAGUUUCACCCUUCAAACUAUCUGCAGCCCAGCUGUUUGCUCACAGCAAUGUUUUUGGGAGUACUAUUAAUAAAUCAACGAGCAGCAAACCAACAAAAGCAAAAGCAACGUGAAAAGCUCCAGUUGCCCUCGAGAGUCUGCAAUGUAGCAAGAAUCCAUGAGCUGUAUGACUAAGAGUAAGAGGCUGCAACUGUAGAGGAGUUGAAGCCAUUUACUAUAUACUGUACUCUUGCACUCUAUGGAAAACAAGGGAUUUUUCUGUUCAGGCUCAUGUGAAUAUGCAAACACACAAUGCAAAUUGGUAAAAGUCUGACCUCUGCCAGAAAAUAAAAGCUUGAAAACCCUG